rnacentral:rRNA from 1 species
UUUAUUGAGAGUUUGAUCCUGGCUCAGGACGAACGCUGGCGGCGUGCCUAACACAUGCAAGUCGAGCGAGAGGAGUUCCUUCGGGAAC